CCUCAGUGUGACCUGACACAUGGCGUAGAGGAAAACGGGAGGUUUCAAUUCCACAGAGUGAGCAGAGGGCUCUCACGAUGAAUGUAGCCAGACUUCCAUUCUGGGAAUGGGAACUUGAUGCUCCAUAAAGCUUUGUGAAGUGUGGCCACUGCAAAGCUGAGGAGGGAAGCGCAUCACUCCUAAGAGCAGCUGAGAGGUGAGAGGCGUGAGCCUUUGCAGUAGCUUGGCCCAGAAACCUGUAAACGUCCAGCAUAUCGAUCAGAGGAGGCAACUGAAGCAAAACAGUUCAUUUGAGAAUUGCUUUUCCCAGAAGAACCAAUCUCGCGGUGCCUUCGAGAUCAGUUACACACAUCUGCUAGGGUGUACUUAAAACACAAGUUGUGGGGCUCCUUGAAAUCCAUUUUGGAAAUCAUCAUCAUAUAUACAACAGACAGGCCUCACAGAGAUCACCAACACCCGGCAGAACAGCUCCACUGUGGAGGUAUGUGUGUAAUUCUGCAGCAAAGUUUCCAGGUGCCCCUGCAGCUUUGACUGCCAUCAAGGCUACAUGCAGUGAGAGCCUAAUGAAGCCUCCAGUUGGUCUUUGUGGAGCCCGCUUGUCCCUGAAUGGUACACUAUGUCCCCACUGGAUGUCCCGAUCUCACAAUGCAGCCUUUCCUGCCAACUCGCAGUAAUGACAGCCUGCUCCAGUUGCAAAAGAAAAAGCAUUUCCUAAGAGUCUCCUCCCUCAUGGGCACGAGGAACAACUUCUCUCUAAACCCUUGACAAUUUACCUUCUGAACUUUUACCUGCUUGGCCUUCCUUAGCUAAUUAAAAAAAAAUCUAACUUUCA
rnacentral:lncRNA from 1 species